rnacentral:rRNA from 1 species
GAGUUUGAUCCUGGCUCAGAACGAACGUUGGCGGCGUGCUUAACACAUGCAAGUCGAGCGGGCUGUAGCAAUACAGCCAGCGGCGGACGGGUGAGUAACACGUGAGAACCUGUCCUGGAGCUUGGGAUAACCGUCCGAAAGGAUGGCUAAGACCGAAUAGUGCCGCAAGGCGGAAAGGAAACACUCCGGGAGGGGCUCGCGGCCCAUCAGGUAGUUGGCAGGGUAACGGCCUACCAAGCCUACGACGGGUAGCCGGUCUGAGAGGAUGAUCGGCCACACUGGGACUGAGACACGGCCCAGACUCCUACGGGAGGCAGCAGUGGGGAAUCUUGCGCAAUGGGCGAAAGCCUGACGCAGCAACGCCGCGUGGGUGAUGAAGGUCUUCGGAUCGUAAAGCCCUGUCAGGGGG